rnacentral:rRNA from 1 species
CAGUCGCCGCGGUAAAACAGAGGAUGCAAGCGUUAUCCGGAAUGAUUGGGCGUAAAGCGUCUGUAGGUGGCUUUUCAAGUCCGCCGUCAAAUCCCAGGGCUCAACCCUGGACAGGCGGUGGAAACUACCAAGCUGGAGUACGGUAGGGGCAGAGGGAAUUUCCAGUGGAGCGGUGAAAUGCGUUGAGAUCGAAAAGAACACCAACAGCGAAAGCACUCUGCUGGGACGACACUGACACUAAGAGACGAAAGCUAGGGGAGCAAAUGGGAUUAGAUACCCGGGUAGUCCCUGUCUCUUAUAC